CUCGGACCAGGCUUCAUUCCCCC
rnacentral:miRNA from 1 species